UACGUAGGGGGCAAGCGUUGUCCGGAAUUAUUGGGCGUAAAGCGCGCGCAGGCGGUUGUUUAAGUCUGGUGUAUAAGUGCGGGGCUCAACCCCGUGAGGCACUGGAAACUGGGCAACUUGAGUGCAGAAGAGGAGAGCGGAAUUCCACGUGUAGCGGUGAAAUGCGUAGAGAUGUGGAGGAACACCAGUGGCGAAGGCGGCUCUCUGGACUGUAACUGACGCUGAGGCGCGAAAAGCGUGGGGGAGCAAACAGG
rnacentral:rRNA from 1 species